GACGAACCGUACAAACGUUAUUCGGAAUCACUGGGCUUAAAGGGUGCGUAGGCUGUCUUGUAAGUUGGGUGUGAAAGCCCUCGGCUCAACCGAGGAAUUGCGCCCAAUACUGCAGGACUUGAGGAAGACAGAGGUGAGCGGAACUUAGGGUGGAGCGGUGAAAUGCGUUGAUAUCCUAAGGAACACCUGGGGCGAAAGCGGCUCACUGGGUCUUCUCUGACGCUGAGGCACGAAAGCUAGGGUAGCGAAC
rnacentral:rRNA from 1 species